GCAGUCGAACGAACUCUGGUAUUGAUUGGUGCUUGCAUCAUGAUUUACAUUUGAGUGAGUGGCGAACUGGUGAGUAACACGUGGGAAACCUGCCCAGAAGCGGGGGAUAACACCUGGAAACAGAUGCUAAUACCGCAUAACAACUUGGACCGCAUGGUCCGAGUUUGAAAGAUGGCUUCGGCUAUCACUUUUGGAUGGUCCCGCGGCGUAUUAGCUAGAUGGUGAGGUAACGGCUCACCAUGGCAAUGAUACGUAGCCGACCUGAGAGGGUAAUCGGCCACAUUGGGACUGAGACACGGCCCAAACUCCUACGGGAGGCAGCAGUAGGGAAUCUUCCACAAUGGACGAAAGUCUGAUGGAGCAACGCCGCGUGAGUGAAGAAGGGUUUCGGCUCGUAAAACUCUGUUGUUAAAGAAGAACAUAUCUGAGAGUAACUGUUCAGGUAUUGACGGUAUUUAACCAGAAAGCCACGGCUAACUACGUGCCAGCAGCCGCGGUAAUACGUAGGUGGCAAGCGUUGUCCGGAUUUAUUGGGCGUAAAGCGAGCGCAGGCGGUUUUUUAAGUCUGAUGUGAAAGCCUUCGGCUCAACCGAAGAAGUGCAUCGGAAACUGGGAAACUUGAGUGCAGAAGAGGACAGUGGAACUCCAUGUGUAGCGGUGAAAUGCGUAGAUAUAUGGAAGAACACCAGUGGCGAAGGCGGCUGUCUGGUCUGUAACUGACGCUGAGGCUCGAAAGUAUGGGUAGCAAACAGGAUUAGAUACCCUGGUAGUCCAUACCGUAAACGAUGAAUGCUAAGUGUUGGAGGGUUUCCGCCCUUCAGUGCUGCAGCUAACGCAUUAAGCAUUCCGCCUGGGGAGUACGGCCGCAAGGCUGAAACUCAAAGGAAUUGACGGGGGCCCGCACAAGCGGUGGAGCAUGUGGUUUAAUUCGAAGCUACGCGAAGAACCUUACCAGGUCUUGACAUACUAUGCAAAUCUAAGAGAUUAGACGUUCCCUUCGGGGACAUGGAUACAGGUGGUGCAUGGUUGUCGUCAGCUCGUGUCGUGAGAUGUUGGGUUAAGUCCCGCAACGAGCGCAACCCUUAUUAUCAGUUGCCAGCAUUAAGUUGGGCACUCUGGUGAGACUGCCGGUGACAAACCGGAGGAAGGUGGGGAUGACGUCAAAUCAUCAUGCCCCUUAUGACCUGGGCUACACACGUGCUACAAUGGAUGGUACAACGAGUUGCGAACUCGCGAGAGUAAGCUAAUCUCUUAAAGCCAUUCUCAGUUCGGAUUGUAGGCUGCAACUCGCCUACAUGAAGUCGGAAUCGCUAGUAAUCGCGGAUCAGCAUGCCGCGGUGAAUACGUUCCCGGGCCUUGUACACACCGCCCGUCACACCAUGAGAGUUUGUAACACCCAAAGUCGGUGGGGUAACCUUUUAGGAACCAGCCGCCUAA
rnacentral:rRNA from 2 species